AUACUUCUCUGGCAGGGGAAAUACCAUGAGCAUUAAAGUGGUUUUCCCAGAGCGAGGCUCAUCCACCGCACUCUGGGUGUCCUGACCCCUGCGAUUUCCCCACAUGUAGGAAACCUGCCCGCAUAAUUUGCGGUAGUGGGAGACUGCGUUUGUGCCCUCCCCUU